rnacentral:tRNA from 2 species
GCCCCCGUAGCUCAGCUGGACAGAGCGGCGGCCUUCUAAUCCGCGGGUCACAGGUUCGAAUCCUGUCGGGGGCA